rnacentral:rRNA from 1 species
AUAUUAGACAAUGGGCGCAAGCGUGAUCCAGCCAUGCCGCGUGAGUGAUGAAGGCCUCAGUGUUGUAAAGCUCUUUCAGUGGGGAAGAUAAUGACGGUACCCACAGAAGAAGCCCCGGCUAACUUCGUUCCAGCAGCCGCGGUAAUACGAAGGGGGCUUGCGUUGUUCGGAUUUACUGGGCGUAAAGCGCACGUAGGCGGAUUUGUCAGUUAGGGGUGAAAACCCGGAGCGCAACUCCGGAACUGCCUUUAAUACUGCCAGUCUAGAGACCGAGAGAGGUGAGUGGAACUCCUAGUGUAGAGGUGGAAUUCGUAGAUAUUAGGAAGAACACCAGUGGCGAAGGCGGCUCACUGGCUCGGUACUGACGCUGAGGUGCGAAAGCGUGGGGAGCAAAC